AACUUUUAUGUUUUGGUAACGCGCCGCGCGUGCAUGAUAAUUACGUGAGUGGGAAAGGAAUAAACAACAAAAAGGGAGAAGAAGAAGAGAAAAGCACAAACUCGGAACGCGUAAACUGUUGUUGUUGUUGCUGUCGUCGCAGUUAACGGGUUUGGUUUUGUGAUUCAUAACUCUACAUUUUCUCUAAUAUUUUUUUUGUUUUGUUACUCGUUUC
rnacentral:lncRNA from 1 species